AACAGAUGUAGUCCACUGCAAACCCUUUUGCUGGAUUGGGAAUUACUGGACAAUUAACAACUAGUAGGAGGCAAUAAUUUACUGUAAAUAAAGAAUACCAACUGCUGUAAAACCCCAAAGAAGAAAAAGAAGAAGAAACUUUUUUGUUUGACCACUGAGAAAGCAGCGGGAGGUGCUCUUUCCUGCCUUUUACUUUCUGCCCUUCCUCGCCCAAAUUCGUGUGUGAGGUGUCUCUGGAUGUCCAGGUCCAGGAUGGGGGUCGGUCUGGAGGAGCCCAGAGGAGAGCGAUCUUGGCUCAAUAAGUCCUGGAACUCCUUACAGAUUUGCCUGAUGG